rnacentral:lncRNA from 1 species
UUUAUUUUUUUUAGUUUUAUUAAUAGAUCUUUCCAAAAAAUAUUUUUAAGUCUGAAACUUUUGGCCACGCCAGCCCGCCUGUCGUGGCCAAAUAACUUUGUCACGCCACCGUGGCUGGCGUGGCAGUGGCAAAAUGUUCAUUUUUCAGAAAUAUCUAUUAGUAUCUACUAUUAUAAAAAUUGAAGAUGUUUUUUGCUGGUAUUUUGGUACGUUAUCAAUGUAUGAGUUGGUUUUAAGUUCGUUCGUUUUUGGAAAUACAUAUCCGUAUUUGAGUCGGUUUUUAAGUUCAUUCGUUUUUGAAAAUACAUAUCCGUACUUGAGUUGGUUUUUAAGUUUGUUCGCUUUUGAAAAUACAAAAGGAAUUGUAUAGAAAAUCGCUUUAAAAAAUCUCGCAUCCUAACUUGAGACGAUCGAACUCCUAAUUGCAGCUCAUGAUUUUCUAUCAAAAUAUAUAUCCAAGCGAAUUUAACAGUGAAUUUCAUCUUAUCUAAACCAUAUAAUAAUGAUAAGAUUAAAAUAGCCUUCACCUGUGCAAUGCACGGGUAUUUUCUUCUAGUAAAAUUAAAAAAAAAUCAAGAGGCAACAAGGAAGGAGGCAAUUUGAUUGUACAGGAUGUCAAUUAUUCAGCCGCCCAGGAGAUGAAGACAGAUGUUAGAAUCCAUAGACUGUGGUAAUGCAAAAGGUGAUGUGUAUGGCUGUACAUACUAGUAGCAGAUAGCUGACAUGUUGAAAUAUAGUGAUGUGUAUGGCUGUACAUAGCUGAUACUCCAGCUGACAUGUAUAGCAUUCUGCCCUAAUCCCUCCGUAAAAAAAAACCAAUAUAGGAUUAGAUAUGUCACAUCUAGUUUCUUUUUUUUUUUUUGGACGGAUAGAAUACUAGUAAUUGUUUGAGCCACCAUUUUGAAUUUUACUGCUCAUUUAUCUCUUUUUAUUUUCCAUGGAAAAAAAUCGGACUACUACAAAUAAAAGUAUAAAGAUGGAAUCUCGAAACAAUUUUUGAUUUCUGCAGUAACUUAUAAGUGACAAUCACCACAACCGUAUUAGUAACCGUUCCUAACAUGAUACUUUUACCUCGUCGACAACAAAUUGGAACUAUCGUACCCGGCAUGUUCGGUUGCCAUACUAUAGUUCUAUACAAGUACUGUACUAGUACAGCGCCAACUGUCCGUACACCCGCCGUGUCCGACCACCGUACAAAGUACAACGCCGAUGCCCGGAGAGAAGCGAUCGAGAGGAAACAAACCCACCGGGACCAACCGACCGACCAAGCAAGCAAGCGCCCAAACGGUUGGGUUGGGUUGGGGCGUUUGGGUACGUGAUGCCCUGAUUCCGAAGCCACCUUGCAGCAGCACGCUCCCAUUGAAAUCGACCGAGGAUUAAUUCCGUUCCGUCGAGGUGGUACGCAUCAACGCAUGGAUAGGAUGGAGAUGGACCAGCCUCGCUAGCCGCAUGCGCAUGCAGAUGCAGUGCAGUGCAGUGCAGGCCUCCUCCUCCUCAAAACAUACCUUUCCUUUCCAUCCGGCCGCCCACGCAAACCCUCCUCUGCACAUGCGAAUAUGUGUGUGCACUGUACAGUUACCGGUUUUUUCUUUCUUUUUUGAUGCAAUUAUGCAGAGGGUAGUCGUUGUUACUGCACAUAUUGUCGUUUUCUGUUAAUUCUGGAAAUGGGUAGAAGAUAAUGUUUCUUUUGGAUACUGACGUGCAAAUUGAUAGCAUGCAUGGAUAAUCACUUGUGCUGAUUCUCACUCCCACUUGUAACUUUGAUCUUGAUCGGUAGCGAAGUUUGUAAAUAUUACUAGACCUCUUCAUAUUUGAGCCAUUUGAUUAUUCUCUUUUUUUGGAGAGGAAUAUUUUUAUACAAGAGUAAAUUUUAGAGAAGUGUAAAUUUUAAUGUAACCUAUCGGUUUGCUAUAAUCACUAGAGAUCCAAUAUGUACAAUGACAACAUUCGAAAUUAUCAAAGAAAUAUAAUUUCGUUAGCGCCCUUAUCAUUAUUUGAUAAACCGAGCCUCAUAUCACACAUACUUUACUAGAUGUAGUGUUACAGUAUGCCACGUCAUCAUGCUACGCUAUUGUUUGUAUGCGGGCACAAUGUUGGAUGACACAACAACAUGUAAGGUUAGAAACGAUAUGUUUUAUGUACAUGCACAUAUUUUGUGUAAUUAAAAAAUACUAGUUUGUAAAAUGUAAACGUGAAGGAAAACCAUAGCACAAAAUUAUGUUUCCUAAACGUAAAAGUCAAGAGGUAAACUUGUUCAAAAACUUCCGCGACAAUUCAGUACUACAGUACGAUCAUCCUCCACGGUUGAGUGACUUGAAUCCGCGGCGGUUUGAUCGCUACAGAAGCAACCGGGCCCACAACCCAGUGGCUCAACACACAGCCAAAAGCAGCCGUACCGCAACCAGAGCCCCAACACAACAGGUCAAACCUUGGUCUCCCCCAUGUUUCACCGAUCCCAUUAAUCUAUUCUUCUCGUAAAAAGUAAAAAAAAAAAUUGUUUCGACCCAUCCACUCCCACUCUCUACUCAGCUCAUCAGCUACUCUACUCUCCCACUUGCUUCCGCUGCUUCUCCUCUCCAUAAGAGCACCCACCAACUCAGCCUCUCCUCCCAUCGCCGCCGCCAAUGCCGGCCUCCACGGCCUCGCCACCGCCGCACCUCGUCUGAACCCCCGUCUUGCUGCCGCCGGAAACCGCGUCGAGAAGUUAACCAUGGGGUCUGGCUCACUCCUCCUCUCCCUCUUGCUGGUGCUCGUCGUCGUCAAUGUCGGGGUGGCGGUGAACCAGGACGGGCUGUCCCUGCUCGACGCGAGGCGCGCGCUCGCCGCCCCGGAUGGCGCGCUGGCGGACUGGAACGCGCGCGACGCCACGCCCUGCAGCUGGACGGGCGUCUCCUGCGACGCCGGCGUCGGCGGCGGCGCCGUGACGGGGAUCUCCCUCGCGGGCCUCAACCUCACCGGGUCGUUCCCGGCGGCGUUGUGCCGCCUCCCGCGCGUCGCGAGCAUCGACCUGAGCUACAACUACAUCGGCCCCAACCUGAGCUCCGACGCCGUCGCGCCGUGCAAGGCGCUCCGGCGGCUCGACCUGUCGAUGAACGCGCUCGUCGGCCCGCUCCCCGACGCGCUCGCGGCCCUCCCGGAGCUCGUGUACCUCAAGCUCGACAGCAACAACUUCUCCGGCCCGAUACCGGAGUCGUUCGGCCGGUUCAAGAAGCUCGAGUCGCUCUCCCUCGUCUACAACCUGCUCGGCGGCGAGGUCCCGCCGUUCCUCGGCGGCGUGUCCACGCUCCGGGAGCUCAACCUGUCCUACAACCCGUUCGUGGCGGGGCCCGUGCCCGCCGAGCUCGGCAACCUCUCCGCUCUGCGCGUGCUCUGGCUCGCCGGCUGCAACCUCAUCGGCGCCAUCCCGGCGUCUCUCGGCAGGCUCGGCAACCUCACGGACCUCGACUUGUCGACGAACGCGCUCACCGGCUCGAUACCGCCGGAGAUUACGCGGCUGACGAGCGUCGUGCAGAUCGAGCUGUACAACAACUCGCUCACUGGGCCGAUUCCCGUGGGGUUCGGCAAGCUCGCGGAGCUCCAGGGCGUGGACCUCGCCAUGAACAGGCUCAACGGCGCCAUCCCGGAUGACUUCUUCGAGGCGCCGAAGCUGGAGAGCGUGCACCUGUACGCCAACUCGCUGACGGGGCCCGUGCCGGAGUCGGUGGCGAAGGCGGCGUCGCUCGUCGAGCUGCGGCUGUUCGCCAACCGGCUGAACGGCACGCUGCCGGCCGACCUCGGCAAGAACAGCCCUCUGGUGUGCGUGGACAUGUCCGACAACUCCAUCUCCGGCGAGAUCCCGCCGGCGAUAUGCGACCGCGGCGAGCUCGAGGAGCUUCUUAUGCUCGACAAUAAGCUCUCCGGUCGCAUCCCCGACGGGCUCGGGCGUUGCCGGAGGCUGCGGCGGGUGCGGCUGUCGAACAACAGGCUCGACGGCGACGUGCCCGCCGCGGUCUGGGGCCUGCCGCACAUGUCGCUGCUCGAGCUCAACGACAACCAGCUCACCGGAGUGAUCUCUCCGGUCAUCGGCGGCGCGGCCAACCUGUCCAAGCUGGUGCUGUCCAAUAACCGGCUAACUGGUAGCAUCCCGCCGGAAAUUGGCUCGGCCUCGAAGCUGUACGAGCUCUCCGCCGACGGCAACAUGCUCUCCGGCCCGCUCCCUGGGUCUCUUGGCGGCCUCGAAGAGCUCGGCCGGCUUGUUCUCCGGAACAACUCGUUGUCAGGUCAGCUGCUCCGGGGAAUCAAUUCUUGGAAGAAGCUUAGUGAGCUCAACCUCGCCGACAAUGGCUUUACCGGAGCAAUUCCAGCAGAGCUCGGCGAUUUGCCGGUGCUGAACUACCUUGACCUCUCCGGCAACCGUCUCACCGGUGAGGUACCAAUGCAAUUGGAGAAUCUGAAGCUGAACCAGUUCAAUGUCUCCAAUAACCAGCUCAGUGGCGCGCUUCCGCCACAGUAUGCGACGGCGGCAUAUCGAAGCAGCUUCUUGGGCAACCCGGGGUUAUGUGGAGAUAAUGCCGGUCUAUGUGCCAAUUCACAGGGAGGUCCUAGAUCCCGCGCUGGCUUCGCCUGGAUGAUGCGCUCAAUUUUCAUAUUUGCGGCUGUUGUUCUGGUUGCUGGAGUUGCGUGGUUCUACUGGAGGUACCGGAGCUUCAACAAUUCUAAGCUAAGUGCCGACCGUUCGAAAUGGUCAUUGACAUCAUUCCACAAGCUCUCAUUCAGCGAGUAUGAGAUCCUGGAUUGUCUUGAUGAGGAUAAUGUGAUUGGUAGUGGCGCAUCCGGGAAAGUGUAUAAGGCAGUGCUCAGCAAUGGUGAGGUGGUUGCCGUUAAGAAGCUUUGGGGGUUAAAGAAGGGGACGGAUGUUGAGAACGGGGGUGAAGGAUCCACAGCUGACAACAGCUUUGAGGCGGAGGUGAAGACUCUUGGCAAGAUUCGCCACAAGAACAUUGUCAAGCUCUGGUGUAGCUGCACGCACAAUGACACCAAGUUGCUGGUGUACGAGUACAUGCCCAAUGGUAGCCUAGGAGAUGUGCUACACAGCAGCAAGGCUGGUUUGCUGGAUUGGUCGACGCGGUACAAGAUUGCUCUGGAUGCAGCGGAGGGGUUAUCCUAUCUUCACCAUGACUACGUCCCUGCGAUCGUCCAUAGGGAUGUCAAGUCGAACAACAUCCUCUUGGAUGCUGAAUUCGGUGCCCGUGUUGCAGACUUUGGGGUUGCCAAAGUGGUAGAAGCCACUGUCCGGGGCCCCAAGUCGAUGUCAGUGAUCGCGGGUUCAUGUGGUUACAUUGCACCUGGUAAGUCUCACUAAUUAUUUUAGAUGUAAGUUUCAGUUAGUCCUUUAGAAUUGUGAAUCUGAUGUACUUGUUUUGUGCAGAGUAUGCAUACACACUCCGCGUCAAUGAGAAGAGCGACAUAUACAGCUUCGGAGUGGUUCUUCUUGAGCUCGUGACAGGGAAACCGCCAGUCGAUCCAGAGUUCGGCGAGAAGGACCUGGUGAAGUGGGUGUGCAGCACAAUUGAUCAGAAGGGGGUAGAACAUGUCCUCGACAGCAAACUCGACAUGACCUUCAAGGAUGAGAUCAACAGGGUGCUGAACAUCGCCCUCCUCUGCUCGAGCUCCCUACCGAUCAACCGCCCGGCGAUGCGCAGGGUGGUCAAGAUGCUGCAAGAAGUGCGCGCCGAGGCCACAAGGCCAAGGCUGGAGAAGGACGGCAAGCUGUCGCCAUACUACUACGAGGACACCUCCGAUCAAGGGAGCAGCGUGUAAAGGUAAAAACCCCCAAAAGAGAAGAAGAUGACAAUAGGCCAAUAGCUGCUUCCAUGAAUCUUCUCCCAUGGCUUGUAGAGCUGUAGCUAGGUAGGAAAGCUGCAAUCAUAACCCAGUCGUGUCCAAAAUUCUAUAGUUGCUGAUUUUGAGCGCUGAAUUUGCUCGCCGCCGACGCCGGCCUCCGACAGCACGGUUAACUCUGGAGCUGUGCACUCCAGUCCGGCAAUGGAGGACAGUAAGCUGGUGGGUGCCCGGUGUUCUUGGUUGUCCUUGCUGUAUGUGGACCGUGCCAUUGAUGCCGGUAGGGCAGAUCGCUCGUCUGCUGUCCAUCGAGAGAAGAAAAGUCUGUGACGGAAUCAAAUGUAGGUGUGUACUGUAAUUAGUACUGCUACUUUGCCUUUUCUCCUGAGAUAAGCUAGGAGUAUUGUUCAAGGCUCAUGGUGAUGGCCCAUGGGGUGGUUGGAUCAAGUAUUUCCUGCUCUUCAACUCAGCAGGAGAGAUGGAAAUACUAAUGCAAACGAGUGAAUGAAUGAAUCUGACCUCUUUAUUACGAGUACUACUAGUACUAAUCCAUGUUUGCUGUUUGCUUCUGAACCUUUUAUCCUCAACAAAAAUGAUGCGCCAUUUUUAUACGGAUCAAUCAUUCGACUACUCCAUGCUGCCCGUUGCUGUACCAUUACAGUACACGUCGCAGUUUGGAUUGGCAUUUGGCAAGCUGUUCGAAUCUCACAGGAGCCGGGUUUGGCGCCGUGUCAAGAGCUUCUAUGCGUUUUCAAUGCGCGGGCGCUCAUCAAUGGGGCUCGCUGCUGUCGGUUGCGCGAUGGAUACGACAGUGGCACGAGGGUUUUGUUUACUGGAGUGAUUAGAUUGGACAGCAGCAAGUGUAUGGGGGGUUUGUCUCGGCCAGCGCGUCGCCUUUCGGUUCAGGCGCUUUGGAGGUUGGAUUUCGAGUUGUUCGCAUCGAAGAGGUCAUGUGGAGAUGGAAACCAGAGCAGUGUUGUGUUGCGACCGUGUUUUGAGCUGUUGUUUCUACGAUGCCAUCUGGGGUCUCUGGUGUUCCAGAUGCUUGGGAUGGGUUUGGUUCGGUGUAGGAGCCCGUGCUGGAGUGACCCUGAAGUCUCCGUGGCACGCCGUGCUGUCUCUCGGCGAAUCUGUUGUGCUUGGCGCCGCUGCGGAACCGAGAAGGCGUUGUGGUGUGGGCUGCUCGUUGAACAUGGGCCGUGUCUGUUCGGCGUUGGGCUGAGAUUGAUCCAGAACGCCAUGCGGGCCAUGUUGUAUGGGCCACCACAAUGGCCACCGGUGUCCUGACACGAGGUCCAGAACUGGGGGAAGAUUUCUACUGGGCCGAGCAGGCGAUCACGCAUGCCGCGGAGCUAGCUGAGACCGCGACAGCCUCUCCCGCCCGCGCGCGCGCACGAACUCCCCGCAUCGCGCGCCUUUCCCCUGCGAAUUCGUGCACUCGCGAGUCGCGAGCGUCUCGCUCGCUCUUCACCGGUCCACGGUCCUCUCGCUGCCAUGCACUGAUGCACCGGGCGCACGCAGCGCCGGGCCUUGCUCGCAUCGCAUCGCAGGAGUAGUAGUGUGGUAGACGACGCGGAUUGGUUGGGCGCGUUCAAUCACCAACUGACAAAGGCUGCGGCGAGCCUGCCACACCUUUCGCCGCGAAUCUUUCCGUUCACGUCGCCUCCCUUUCUCCUCUUCGGCUCUCCGCCCCUCUCCGCACGCAGCCACGAAACGGCAAUCGCGAAAGCUCGCCGGUCACCGCUCCUCCUCCUGGCCUUCUCUCCUCAAAAACCCUAGCUCCUCCGCCUCUUCUACUAGUCCUAGUCCUCUCCUCUCCUCUCUCUCUCUCUCUCUCUCUCUCCCCCCAUCUCCCGGAGCUCGCACCAAGCAGCUGUGCGGCGUCAUCUGAGCGAGCUCGAAUGGGGCCUCCUCUUCUGCCGUCGACGUCGUGGGUGAUCCUGAGCCGGGAGGUGUACGCGUGCGGCGACGGCGACGGCGGCGGCGGCGGGAUCCCCCUACCGGAGGGCGCCGACCUCGCCCUCGAGCUCGCCGCGCCGCCGCGCGUCUCGAAGCUCGCCGUGUCCCGGCGCAUCACGCCGGCCAAGGUGAGCCCCUUUGCCAAGUGGAAGUCCUUCGUCAUCGCGAUCGACCCCUCUGCGGGGCUCGUCCUCCUCCUCGCGCCGCCGCCCCCAGGACCUGGUCCCGGUGAGCUGCGGUCCUUCACCGACGCCGACGGCAAGGUGCACACGUACCACGUCACCACCAUGCCGACCCAGCGCUACUUCGUCUGCGACAUCGCCGCCCGCACCGCCUACUACCUCCCCGACCCUGAGGGAUGCGUCUUCAACAACGAUCUGAGCAUCAUCGCCGCGCCAGGAGGUGGGGGAAAGUACCUGGUCGUCGAGUUCAAGUUCAUCGUUGGCGGCGACAAGGCCACCCUCCUCUGCUUCUCGUCCGAGACCGGCCUGUGGGAGAAGAAGCCCGUCAACAACCCCCUGCCCCGCUGGAUCUGGAGAUGCUUCGACGUCGGUUCCUACGCCGGCAAGCUCUACUGGGUGGACACCGCGGCGGGCCUCCUCUUCUGCGACCCGUUCGUCGACGAGCCGCACAUGGAGUACGUCCCGCUCCCCAGGGUCGAGCUCCCGCCAGAACACGACGAGGACUGCCACGGCUGCGACUACUGCGCCGAGAGAGCGUUCGUCUCCCGCCGCUGCGUGCGGCUGAGCGACGGCAAGUUCAGGUGCGUGGACAUAGGCUCUGCAAGCGACGGUGCCGGUGCUACUACCAAGGUCUCCAUGCACACGCUGGUUGAUCCAGGGAGGCAGGGACCAAGGUGUGGACGCUUGAGUACGCCGUGAGCUUCGCCGACCUCUGGGCCAGCGAGAGCUACAAGGCGGCUGGGCUGCCGGAGAAGGCCCCGGUGCUCGCGCUCGUCCACCCCAAGAACCCCGACGUGGUGUACUUCUUCGUGGAGGACCAGCUCGUCGGGGAAGAAAAUUUGGUAAGACUGAAGUCUUACGCUCCUGCGAAAGACUUAAUCUCUUGUGCGACACGUGUCCUGUCACAAUCUCAAAGCAGAUAACUCCCUCAAACCUCCUUAACGAUACGGCACGUCGUCGUUAGCACUUAGCACACGAGAAGACGACGGGCAUGGCGCAGCUGCGGGGAGAUGGACGAGCACGAUGAGAGAUAUGACUCCUCGAUGGAGUGCUGACGGCCCGACGCCGGUGAUGCCUGAGGAACAAUAGUGGUGGCGGUGAAAGCCCCGACGCCGGUGGCCCUGCGGUAGCUAGGGUAGCGACAUGAGGCUGAAGCUCCCACGCCGGCGAUGCCUGAGGGACAGUGCAUGGUGGCAUAUGCCGCGGCUGCGGCAGCGGCCUAAGACAUUGAACGAUACGGCAAUGAUUCCUAACAGUUGCAUCUGCACCAUACAUACAGUGAGCUCAUAUGGUGAUUAGAUAAAUUAAGUACAGAGCUCUACUAUUGAAGCUCCGAUAAUAAACUUGACUAUUGGUGAUUAUAUAAAUUGGGAAUUAAGAUAACAAGCUCCAACAGUGAAGUAGAACAAGAAGAACAAACUUGAGCACUCAGUUCAGAAUUUCAUCAGAUUAGAUUAGAAGAUGUCUUAUAAUAUCCAUAUGCAAAAACACAAAAUAACAAGACAACAGAACUUGCAGAGAAGCUGAUGCUUGUGUCUGACAAAGUGAAAACUCAAAAUGGUUCUAACUCAUCGGCGCCGGGCCGCCAGCACUCCAUGGAGGAGCACCGGUUCAUCUCCCGCGCCGCGCUCGUCCAUCUCCCCGUAGCCGCGCGCGCUGCGUCUGUCUUCUCGCGUGCUAACGGCGUUAGGUUGUAUCGUUAAGAGGGUUUGAGGGAGUUAUCUGCUUUGAGAUUGUAACAGAACACGUGUCGCACAAGAGAUUAAGUUUUUCGCGGGAGCGUAAGACUUCAGUCUCACCAAAUUUUCUUCCGCUCGUCGGCGUCGACCUGCGCGCGAAGGAGGUCCUGGAGUAUGAGACCCACAAGAUGACCGUGCCGGAGAACGCCCGUGUGUUUCCUUACGGCCUUCUUCCAAUGGUGCUCCCGCCCGCGCUCUCCGCAGGUAAUUGUUUCGUGCGCUCAACACUUCCUUGAUACUACUAGUGCUCAUCUUGUCAAUGUUCUUAAAUCUGCUAAUUAGAACGGGACAUAGUACUAGGGUAGUGUGGUUUCAACUUUCAAGUACUGCUCCUAUUGGUCGUGUAGUGACAGUAUUGAGCAACUUUAUACCAGUAUGUCCUAGCUAUUAUGUCCGCUUUGCGCGCAUUUGAUCUCAUGGUUUGAUUGGCUAGUUUUUGUGUUCAGUGUUCCAUGUUGAUUGAUGUGUCUGUGCCGUGUGUAUAUAAGACUGCUUUUCAUGGUACCGACCUGUUGUGAAUUCUGAGCAGUAUGCGCGUUCAGUAAAUUUUGAUGAAUUGGUGUGUUCAGUUUGCGUUUAAUCCCAAAUAAUUGGAGUUCAUUUGAGUUUCUUGCCUACCUAUUUGGCCAUUCAUAUGUUGAUCUUGAUGGUUCCUGAAAUUCAUUAAAUUUUGACAAAUUUGGUCUAGAACUUUUAUUUAUGGUGUUUGUUUGCAUAAACAUUUGCACAUAUAUAUAUGCAUUACUCGGUAUGAUAAAAAGUUCAGUUCUGCUGCUUAAUUCAUACCCACUGUCCGCAUGAACCGUGUAAUAUGUGUCAUGUAUAAUUACGCAUCUUGCAUCCAUACGCUGAAAUUGCAAUACAUUCAUUUUGUUCAUGUAAAGAACAUUUAUGUUGCCCUGAAUUUUUCUGAAUGUACUAACAAGGUGGUAAGACACUAAGACCUAUCACUGAGAGCAAUAUGCACAAUUGUACACAUGGUAUUGAAGAUGGAUACAUAUAAAAACAUCAAUUCAUGUUUUCUUUUACAUUCAUCACUUAAACCUUCCUGCUAGUAGUUUCUUUUGCUGUAUCCUGUUAUUCCUGACAUUUGCACCAACUUCUUGCAGCAGUCUCAGAUUAUUAUUUCCUCUUGCUCUUCAUAUUCUCUUAUUCAUAUAUGUGAAUAUUAUUUCCUGAUAACCAUAUGGCACUUUUUAGGGCAAGAUUAUUACCACUUCAAUUCCUAUCACUCAAAUCAAGUUGUUCUAUCAGUUAUCGCUUCCUCUUCUUUUUAUCCUAUAAUAACAGAAAUUUGUGUAGUUUUUAUCAAACCAUGCAAAUGCACUUUUAGGGCAAGAUUAUUAGUACCACUUCCUGUCACUCAAACAUGCAUGUUCGUUAGUAUUUUGACUAACUUGUGUUUUCUUUGAUUAAAGGUUUGUCUAAGGAGGGUGCUACCUCUGCGUGUGAUAACCAGUUGGAUGUAGGCAUUUUGGAUCUUUCAAAUGUUCGCAUUUUGGAGUUCUCUUCGCCUGCCUCUUGAGAAUGACUGUAGAAUGCUGCUAUUCCUUUUCAUGAUUUGUUAUGCUUAUGUCGGAUAAUGUUGCACUUAUUGCGGUAGUACUCGAGUAGUAUGUUAAUAGCAUGCCUGGAUAAUUAAAUUAACUUUGCAGGUUUAAUUUGUCUUUUUGUUAUGCUCCUCUUGAUUAUUGUUUCUGCUGUUGCAUCCUCAAAGUUGGAACCUGGAAUCAACUUUGAGUGAAAAUCACUCAGUACUUGUCAAGUUGCCCUGCCUGCACACAUGGUCUCCAUUUCCAGCUCUUCUUUUUGAUCCCCAACAAGGCAGGUUCCCGUGUAGUUCAGAAAAAAAAUUGCAAGCCACAAAUUCAUCAAUCUACAUCUUGACAAUAAGAGAUAAACUGUUCUGAUUUUUUUUUAAAAAAAAUACUAAACGCUCCUAAAAAACAGAUUACGAAAACAUUAGAUUGUUCACUAAGGCAUGCAUUUGUUUGAAUUUUUCUGGAGUGGUUAUUGUAUCCGGUGAAGAAGUAUUUUUCAUAUCAUACUCCCUCCGUCCCAUAAUAUAAGAGAUUUUUAAGUUUUUGUUUGCAACGUUUGACCACUCAUCUUAUUCAAAAUUUUUUGAAAUUAUUAUUUAUUUUAUUUAUGACUUACUUUAUUAUCCACAGUAUUUUAAGCACAACUUUUCAUUUUUUAUAUUUAAAAAAAUUUUGAAUAAGACGAGUGAUCAAACGUAACAAGUAAAAACUCAAAAUCCCUUAUAUUGUGGGACGGAGGGAGUACGAAGUAAUUCUCAUUGCAGUAUGUUAUUAAGAAAUCUUAAGGGUUAAGCUAUGCUAUGCCUACUGCCUAGUAGAAAGUAUUUUGUUCGUGUCACGUUGCCUGCGACCACAUGCAUCUCAUUUGGUUUUUGUUCGUGGACCUAGCUAGCGGAAGCUUUCGUGCGCUGCUCAUUUGUGUUCAGCUGGUCGAAGCAGAGCGGCCGCUGGCGUGGCAGUGUUGCUGCCUGCCGCGACGUCCCACUCACGUAGCCGACUAGCUCGGUGCGCAGGAAGCAGCUCGGCACGCCGGCACCGGCAAAGCUCAUGUGGCUACACGAGUCACGUCUCGCUCGGCUCACGCACGCACGAAUGCACGAUCGAACGAACGAACGAACUCUUUUCGCACCGCCCCGACGCGCCUGAUUCCCCACGCUGCCACACACCGGUCGGACUAGGUUGCAUCGCGCGCAGGAGCGUAGCGUAGACACGAGCUGGUCGGGCGUUUCGCCGCUGCCUUUCGACGACUUGCUUUCUCUGCAGACACCAAAACGGCAACUGCCAAAAAGAAAAAGAGAACGAUCACCAAUCCUCCUCUCCAGCGCUGCACGCCGGCCUCUCUACCCUCUCCACAGCACCACGCGAGAAAAACCCACGCGGAUUGAUUCAAACUCGUAUUACCAAUCCUCCUCGCCAUCUCUCUUCGUCGAAUCGAUUUCCUCUGUUAGCUACUCUAACUAAGAACACACAAACUUUCUCAAGAACUGAUAUCGUCUACUAAUCCGACAGGAUUGGCACCGCCGCCGCCAUCACCGCCUUCUUUCUUACCGAGUGAAACAGAAUAUUACAGAGUUAGUUAUAUCGCUCUCUCACCAAUUCACACUCCACAUGCAACUCACACCCUUACAGCUGGCCUGGGCCUUAAGCCCACUUUGGUCCAAACACCCUUGGAUUACGUUUAAUCAUUCUUGCUGGCCUGUCCUUGGAAGUCUGCUUGACACCCUCCUUCAGAGCAGCACCUUGUAGCAGAUCAGGUACUCCAGCAGAGCUGACAAUCCCCUCCCCUUGAGACAAGGCUUGCCCCCAAGCCGGAGCACCAGGAAAACGCUGUUGCAGCUCCACAUGAUCUUCCAAGGUUUCCUGUCCAGCAACAUCACCAGACCAUCGAACUAAAACUUGUGGAACCACAGAGUUACCUCGAUGAGACUGACGACUGUCAAGCACAGCCACCGGCACCUUCAGAUGAGAUAAGGCAGGAAGCUGAGGUUGAACAGAAGGAGAGAAUCCAACAGCAGAUUUAAGUUGAGAAACAUGAAAAACAGGAUGAAUGGUGCUAUCAGGAGGUAACUGUAACUUGUAUGCCACUAACCCAACUUUACUCAGGAUCUGGAAAGGCCCAAAAUAACGAAAGCACAACUUGUGAUUAGCUCUCCUAGCGACUGAAGAUUGCACAUAAGGCUGAAGCUUGAGAAAAACCCAAUCACCCACUGAAAAUUCCCAAAAGCUUCUCUUCUUGUCGGCAUACUGUUUCAUUUGUUGUUGAGCUCUGCCCAAGUGCUGCUUCAACAAUUGAGUCAUCAACCUUCGCUCUGUGAGCCAUUCAGUCAAAUCAGGGAUACUACAAGCAUCUUCACGAAUACCAAAAUGACCAGGAGGAUAGCCAUACAACACUUCAAAAGGGGUCUUUGACAAAGCUGAAUGAUAAGAAGUAUUAAACCAGAACUCAGCAAGAUAUAACCAAGAGCUCCAUUUGGUAGGCACAACAUGAACAAAACAGCGUAAAUAAAUUUCCAGACAUUGAUUCACACGUUCCAUUUGACCAUCUGUUUGUGGGUGAUAAGCCGUACUGAGAUGCAACUGAGUACCAGAACGAGUAAAUAACUAAUCCCAAAACUGACUGGUGAAGAUCUUAUCUCUAUCAGAAAUUAUCACAGAAGGCAAACCAUGCAACUUAUACACAUUACACAUAAAAGCUUGGGACACAUCCACAGCAGAAAAUGGAUGAGAUAGAGGAACAAAGUGAGAGUACUUGGAGAACUUAUCAACCACCACCAAAAUACAGUCAAAUCGACCAGAUUUAGGUAAACCUUCUAUAAAAUCCAUAGAAAUAAUUUGCCAUGCACCAUCAGGGACUGGAAGAGGUUGUAAUAAACCUGGAUACUUGGAUCUGUCAGGUUUAGCUUGCAAACAGAUUUGACAGCCUUUAAUCGAACGCUGAAUCUGUUGUUUCAUGCGAGGCCAAGCAAACAAAGCUUUGAUCCGCUGAUAAGUAAUAGGAAAGCCAGAAUGACCACCCAUAGGACUGUGAUGAAGAGCAGCAAUAACUUUAUUUUGCAUCUCAAGAUUGUUACCCAGCCAUACCCUGCCUUUAUAUUUCAACACACCAUUGCAUAAAGAAAAAGGUGGUCGAGCAUUGGCCUUCAGAGAAAGAUCAGUCAAAAGUUGGGCAGAGAAGUUAUCCUCAAGAUAACCAUCAGUGACUUCCUUAAGCCACACAGGAGCACAGCUAGAAACCAAUUGCAAUUCACUGGAGUCAUCAUUAUAUUUCCUAGAAAGGGCAUCAGCUGCUGAAUUGCUGGACCCUUUCCUAUAACAAAUCUUAAACUGCAACCCUAACAGUUUAGUAAAAGCUUUGUGUUACCAAGGAGUAUUUAAUCUUUGUUCAUUGAGAUGCAUAAGGCUAUGGUGAUCAGUUAAUAUAACAAAUUCACCUUGCUGCAGAUAAGAUCUCCAAUGAUCAACAGCCAGUAAAAUAGCCAAAUACUCUUUCUCAUAGGCAGAUAAUCCUUUAGUCUUAACACCCAAAGCCUUGCUAACAAAAGCAAUUGGAUGACCCUGCUGAGAUAAAACUACCCCAAUGCCCCCAUCACUAGCAUCUGUCUCCACAAUGAAAGGCAAAGAGAAAUCUGGCAAGGCUAGGACAGGUGCUGAAACUAAAGCUUGCUUCAAGGACAGAAAAGCCUGGUCAGCUGCAGGGGACCAAACAAAGGGAACAUCCUUUCUCAGCAGUUGAGUUAAGGGCUUACUAAUGAUGCCAAAAUUUUUAACAAAUUUUCUGUAAUACCCAGCUAAACCCAAGAAACCCCUUAAUUUCUUAACAGUUGUGGGCACUUUCCAAUUGACAACCUCUUCAAUCUUAGACUGAUCAGUAGUAACUCCCUUGUCACUGAUGAUGUGACCUAAGUAAGAAAGCUGAGGCUGAGCAAAAGAGCACUUAGAGAGUUUAACUUUCCAUUGAUGCUGACAAAGUAAUUGCAGCACUUGCCUGAGAUGGCUCAAAUGAGAGGAAAGAUCAGGGCUGUAAACCAAUAUAUCAUCGAAGAAGACCAAGGCAAAUUUCCUCAAUACAGGAGCUAAAGUAUCAUUCAUAGCUCCCUGAAAAGUGGCAGGAGCCCCAGUGAGACCAAAAGACAUCACUCUAUAUUCAUAAUGACCAGAAUGAGUCUGAAAAGCAGUUUUAUGUUCAUCUCCGGCAACCAAUCUAAUCUGGUGAUAACCUGCCCUGAGAUCCAACUUAGAAAAGAACUUUGACCCAGACAAUUCAUCUAAGAGUUCAUCAAUCACAGGCAAUGGAAAUUUCCCUUUAACAGUAAUAGCAUUCAACUUCCUAUAAUCAAUACAAAGCCUCCAAGUUCCAUCUUUCUUUUUCACUAACAGAGCAGGAGAUGAGUAAGCACUGUUACUAGGUUGAAUAACACCAGAAAGCAACAUAUCUUUAACCUGUUUCUCAAUCUCAUCUUUUUGAGCAGGGUUAUGCCGAUAAGGUCGAAUAAAAACAGGCUUAAAAUGAGGGAGAAGAGGAAUGUGAUGAUCACAAGCUCGCCUGGGGGGUAAGGUAGUGGGUUCUUCAAAGACAGACUGAAAUUCCUGCAACACAGACUGCAAACCAGGAACAGAAGAGACUGCAGGAGAAGGAAUUACUUGAUGAAUUUGAAGAACAUGCAUAAUAGAGCCCAACUUAAGCAUCCCCUGUAACUGAUCUCCCUGGAUAGAAUGGCAUUGAUCAGUAAGAGCCUGAAUACCCUAUAAUUUAACUGGAUGGCCAUCUUUAACAAAUUCCAUCCAUUUAGCAAACCAGUCAACAUGCAUUUGCCCCAAGGAAGCUAACCAGUCCAUGCCUAAAAUCACAUCAUAAGCCCCCAAUGGAAGUAUCUUGAAUUCAGUUUGAUAAUAUUGGCCUUGAGUACACCAAGUACAAGCUGGGAUAAAAGAAGAACAGGACAAAAUGCCACCAUCAGCAACUUUGACAGAUACCGAUUUGAGUAAAGGUCUAAUCCCUUUUAGUUUGGAGGUCAGAGAAACAUCCAAAAAGGAAUGAGAACUCCCAGAGUCUACUAACAUCAGAACCUCAAUACCCUGAACCCAACCUCUUAAUCUGAAAGAAGUGACAGAUUCAGUGCCAGAGAAAGCUUGCUGUGACAAAGCCAUCACAACUGUCUCAACAGAAUCAGAGUCAGCAAGUUCCUGAUGUGAAUCAUCCUGUUGUAGAGCCUCCAAUAACUCCUGAACAAUGUGUAAUUGAACUGAUGGACUGCAUUUGUGCUCCCUGCUCCAUCUCUCUCCACAGGUGAAACAAAGACCCUUAGAUCUGCGAUACGAUUUCAAUGCAGCCAACUUAUCAGCUCUGACUUUAAAAGCAGACUGAGAUUCAGGAGACAUAACUGAAACAGGCUUGGGAGUAGAAGGGCCUAGAGAGAACUGUCUAGGAAACUGUUUAACAAAAGAAGCAGAAUCCACUCGUUUUAAAGAAACAGAAGGAACUCCUUCAAGAAUUUCCUCUUGUAAUAAGGCCAAAGAACAAGCUGAGUCCAGAUCCUGUGGUUUCUGCAUAAGCACACCGGAACGAAUCUCCUUUUUUAAUCCCUCCACGAACUUGGUGACAAAAUAAUUGAGAGGCAGUGAACUAUUAUAAGCCAACAACUGAUGCAUUACACUAUCAAACUUCUCCACAUAUGCAGAAACGGAAGAAUCCUGAAUCAUAUGAAACCACUGACGAAUCAACACUUCCUGCCUGUCCUUAGUGAAUCGAAGGCAAACAUGUUCAGUAAAUUCUCCCCAUGAAACCUCCACAAGCUUAGAGCGCAUAGACUGGAGCCAGAAAGCUGCAUUACCAGUGAAAUUCAAGCCAGCCACUCUAACCCAGUGCUUUGGAUUAAUCCCAUAGACCUCAAAAUAUUCUUCGCAAUUGCACUUCCACAUUUGAGGAUUAUCACCGUCAAACUGUGGACAGGACAUAGGUGGUACUGAUCCCCCAAUUCCAGAUGUAUUGCCAGCACUAGCCCAAUUCCCCAAAGUAGGAUCCAAAACAUCAGAAUCAUGAUUGGGAGAGGUAGGAGAGGGAGUACUGAAGGUUUGACCAGAAGCAUCCGGAGCAGGAGAACAUUCACGGGAAGGAUCCUGAACCACGGACUGCAAUUUCUCCAUCUUCUCUUGCAGAUCCACCACCGAGCCGUGUAGGAGAUCCACAUGCUUCUCCACCGCUGGGAUCCGCGACUCAACCGCCAGCUUGAGGGCUAAGAACUCUGCCCUGCUUUGCUCCUCCAAUUUCUCCAGACGCUUGUCGCUUUCUUCCCGUUUCUUCUCCGUCUCCUCCAUCUUGCGAAGAAGAAGAUCAAGCUUGCCGUCGUGAUCCAUGAGCUUCGCGGCCUGCUUGGUGACGUAGCGGGGCUUCUCGUAAAGAGCCGUGGUGGCAAAACGCUCAAAUCUUGCGGACCUAGUUGAGGGAGCCGAAGCUUUUGUGGGAUUCGUCGCACAAGGCAACAAUCCCCACCUCGCCCAGGAAUUAUCGCAAAAUUAGAACGAAUUGAGAGAAAAAAUUUUCAGCUCGGCUUUGAUACCAGAUUUGUUAGCUACUCUAACUAAGAACACACAAACUUUCUCAAGAACUCGAUAUCGUCUACCAAUCCGACAGGAUUGGCACCGCCGCCGCCAUCGCCACCUUCUUUCUUGCCGAAUGAAACAGAAUAUUACAGAGUUAGUUAUAUCGCUCUCUCACCAAUUCACACUCCACACGCAACUCACACCCUUACAGCUGGCCUGGGCCUUAAGCCCACUCUGGCCCAAACACCCUUGGGUUACGUUUAAUCAUUCUUGCUGGCCUAUCCUUGGAAGUCUGCUUGACACCCUCCUUCAGAGCAGCACCCUGUAGCAGAUCAGGUACUCCAGCAGAGCUGACAUCCUCAUCCCCUUCUCUCCUCAAAACUAGCUUCUACUCCCUCCGUCCAAAAAAAACUUAAGAGUAAUUUCUAGAGUUUGAAUUUUGUCCCACAAAAAACUAACUACCAUCCUAUCUAACAUCGGUACAUAAAUUAAGAAGUUUUCUCUAUUAAACACCCCUUAUCUACCUAUCGAUAUUACUACUUUUUCUAAUAAUGAGGAAUAUUUUAGUCAUUUUUACUCUUCACUAAUCUCUCUUUGGGAUGUUAGGAAUGGAUUUUUUAUGGGACGGAGGUACUUCUACUCCUCCCUUUACUCCCGUACUUGCAUGUUGGAUAGUGUAGGGAGAGAGGAAUACUGCGAAUAUUGGACAUGUUGUAUCGAGCCUCGGGGGCCGAUAUAUAUAGAAGAUACAUGGGUAGAGAUAAGGAAGGAUUACAUGUAAGGAAGGAAUCCACACAAAUUAAUCAUAUUCUAAUAUAUCUUUAUCUACCAUCUACUCUAACAGUGCGCACGUCGUCGUCGACGACCGAUCGAGCUCGUAUGACGCCUCCUCCGUCGUCGCCGACGUGGGUGUUCCUGAACCGCAAGGCGUGCGUGUGCGGCGGCGAAGGCGGCGAUAGCGAGCCCGUCCUGCUGCAGGGCGCCGACGACGUCUCCCUUGAGCUCGCCGCGCCGCCACGCGAGUCGGUGCUCACCGUGUCCCCGCGCGUCUUGCUCGGUGACGUCUCCGUCCUCGCGCUCGACCCCUCCGCUGGGCUCGUCCUCGUCUAAGCCCCCAUCCCCUCCGGACUCCGACGAGCCGCUACCUUGGGCCCCGUACUACUUUGUCUGCGACAUCGCCGCCGGCACCAACUCCCGCGUCCCCUACCCGGGGGAGACGGGGGAACUACAUGGUCGUCGAGUUCAAGCCAGUACUAGGCAACGACGGGGAGGACGACGACACCAUGUUCGUCUCAUGCGGUUACGACCUGUGAUGAUAUGCGUCUCGUUUUUCAUUUACCCUAACCUCUCUCGCUUGCAUGUGGGCCCAGAGGCUAUCGAAUGCUAAAGGGGCAUUUGCAAAUUUGCCACUGGUUUUUUUAAUUUUGCAAGGAUGCCACUCGAAUGAUAGUUCCAGUGGUAUUUUUGUAAUUUUCUAGUGACAGUUUUGCAAUAACUAUUUAAAGUAGUGGUAAAUUUGCAAUUACCCCAAUGCUAAAAUGGCAGCAGCCCUUGUGUUCGGCUGGGUUGAAGAAGGCCGGGGUGGUUACUGCGACGGCACACUCGGUCCGCAGGAAGCAGAGCCACCAAGCUCGCAUGACACGUCGCGCACGAUUGCUAGAACUCGGCAGUGAGCAAUGCUUUCCCCCCGCGCUCCCCGCCCCGGCGGAUGGGUUUCGUGCAAUUCUCGGCGCGGGCGUCUCGCUCCUCGAUCCUCACGAGCUCACCGGUCCACGCUCCCCAACGCUACCACGCACCAAACAUCGAUCGGUUGCAUCGCGUCGCGGCAGCGUAGUAGACUAAACACGGGCUGGUCCGGCGCUUGCGGCGCAUCGUUGGGCCUGGAUGUGGAGUCUAGUGUACGAAUCGCGGGACGCCCUUGGCAGGCGCAACCGGCGAGAGGUCGCACUUGGAGACUAGGUAUUGGAAGUGCAUUGGGGUCAAACAGGAGGUGGAGGAGCGGCGGAGGAGGUGGAUGCAUGAUUCUGAGGAGAGGAAGACCCACAUUGCCACGGAUGGGUGCGGUUGCGACAAGGGCAACGAAUCGGCUGCAGGCUGCAGCCUGCCGGAGGUGUGGUCAUGCCGUUGUGGGGAGCAGAAUUAAAUUUGAAAAAUACAAUGUUCAAUCAAUUUUUUCAGGAAUACACGGGAUACAAAAUUUUUUUAGAAAUAUAUCGUCGGUCUCGCACAACCAUUACGCGAAAACGAUGUGAGCGCGAUGUCACGGGCAGUAUCACGCGGUCUCGCACACCAGCAGCGCGAGACCGCAUGGUCUCGUGCGAGACAGAAUGGUCUUGCCGAACCAAACAGUGAUACGGAGCCAUGUCGAUUUAAUUAAUGGUUAAUUAUCUUGAUUAGUGAUUAAUUAAGUUAUUCACUAAUUAUUAUUAGUUAAUAGUUAAUUAGAUAAUUUAAUCUCUAAUCAAAUGGAGCCGUAUUUACAGUACUAUUACCGUUGGAUGGUGUCGCCGAUUGAUUUGGCGAGACUGCGCUGUCUCGCACUUUUAUCGUGCGUCCAUCCACCACGUCACGUUUACGUUAUUUUCGUGCAAGAUUAUGCAAGAUCGACGAUAUAUUUCUUCAAAAAAUUUUGCAUCCCGAAUAUUUAAAAAAAAAAUGAACGGUAUAUUUUAAAAUUUAGUUCAUCAGACGCAAAGGGGUAUGGGGAUUGGAUUUGCUCAAUUGGCUCGGCCCAUUACGCAUGCAAGGAGGAGAGCUAUGCCCAGGAAGUCUGAAAUCUGGCAUUUUAGCCUCUUUGGUUCAAUAUACCCUUAUUACUUUUUGUCUUUUCCUAUGUAUAUAUGUAUUAUACAUUACAUAUAUGUUUUUUUUGUCAAACUAAAACUUACGUAUUCAUCUAAAAUACCUAUGUACACACAGUGGGCCCGCCCCCUAAAACGGGGAGAAUGUGUCACAAGGAAAAAAGAAAAAAAAAGAAAAAAAAAGGGUAAAAACGUAAAACAAGAAUACGCGAAGCCACGAAGGAAGACGUAAAGAAGUGAUUGUUCGAAGCGAAGCAACUCGGCGGGCGUCCUAUUUAUUCUGUCCCUCCUGAAUCCGUCGCAAGAAAAGAAAAAACACCCUCCCUCCUUCUCCCUCUCCUUCUCCUUCGUCUUCCUCCUCUUCUUCCUCCUCGCUUCUGGUUUCCGGCGAGCAGUUCUUGCCGGAUCAUGUGCUCUCCUCCGACGGACGCGCGCCGCAAAGCGCGCGCCGCUGCACGCGCCUCCACUUCCAUCUCCGCCCCACCUAUAGGGAAGGCCGACGAAGACGCAGAGCGGCGCGCGGCGCACACGCACGGCAAUGCGCCCUCAUCGACCUGCAUCCCGGCGGCAGACGGCGCACGGCGGCGCUCACGUGCAGCCGAUUACUCCGAGAGCAGCAAGGUCGGCGAGUCGAGCACCUGCUCGAGGGCCCCAAGUCUCGGGAAGAGGUGAGUUUUCCCCCUGUUCUUGGACCCUUGGAGACAUUGGGUUCAUCUUUUUGUGUGGUUCUUGAUUGGGUGAGGGUUUCUGGAUGGAGUUGUGAGAUUGGGUUCAUCUUUUUGUGUGGUUCUUGAUUGGGUGAGGGUUUCUGGAUGGAAUUGUGAGAAAAGAUCGGGUUCUUGGUUCAAUUGCGGUACAAAAAUUUGGGAUUCGGGAUCGAAUUUUGUUGGGAAUCAUUAGAUUGCGUUUCUUGCUGAAUCUCUGAUUGGUUUGGUUCAAUGCAGAUUGCUGCCAUGGUGCACGACGAUCUUUUCUGACGUUUCCCUCGUUGAGAGGAAGGCCAACGUGUACGGCCUCUUCGAUGAGGAGGAGGAGGAGGAGGAGGAGGAGGCCGAGAGCUUAUUCUACUGCGUGGCACCGGAGUGCCGAUCUGGCGUCGAGGAAGACCACCAGACCCACGCGGCUGGACACGACACGUUGCUCAUUAGGUUCUUAGGCGGAGGAGGUGGAGGUUAUCUUCGUGUGAUUGGGGAUGAGCCUUGGAGCUGGUUUGUUGGCGGGAUCGAGGUACGCCGGAUGCAAGUUGUUCAUUGCUUGUUCCUGUCUGAAUUGUUGAUUGUUUGAUCUUCGAAGUUCAGUUAAUCUUGACCAUUUCGAUGUGUUCUUUUCAGUCCAUUCCAGUAGAGAAGGGCAAGGGGAAGCUGGUCCCCCUGCGUCCACCGAGCGGGCGGCGCUGCAAGACGUGUGCGGACGUGCUGGUAGCCGCCGAGAGCGCGCUGUUUUGCACGUUCCAGUGCAAGGCGCGCUCUGGCGAGGUCGCCGGACACCGUUGGGCGCAGGACCUCCUACUGGACGAUUUUGCUGUGCCAUGCGAGAGGUUCGACCGUGUUUGCUGGGUUUUGCUGUGGUCUUUGCUGUGGUAGCCACCAUUCCUGCGCGCCUGGGACAUUCGGCAGCAAGAACUCGAGGUUCACCACCGGCCGCGUGAUCGACAGCGACGGCCGCACAGUGAUUCGCCACGUCAGUGACCCAGACGGCGGGCGCUGUAGGGGAGUCUGUACGAUCUGCAAGGGUGACGUCGCCUCGGCGGAUCACGCGUGCCUUCGUAGCCUACAGGUUUGUUCAUUACUACUUACCAUUCAAUUCGUGUGCUGCUUGCUUAGGCACAUUUUAGUUCGCGAGAAAUAAUUUUUAGAUGUCACAUCAGAUGUUUGACUAGAUGUUGAAAGGGGUUUUCGGAUAUGAAAAAAAACUAAUUUCAUAACUCGCUUGGAAACCGCUAGAUGAAUCUUUUGAGCCUAAUUAAACCGUCAUUAGCAUAUGUGGGUUACUGUAGCAUUUAUGGCUAAUCAUGGACUAAUUAGGCUCAAAAGAUUCGUCUCGCGAUUUCCAUGUAAAUUUAAACAAUUAUUUUUUGUUUUUGUCUAUAUUUAAUACUCCAUGCAUGUGUCCAAAGAUUCGAUGCGAUGUUUUUGGGAAAAAGAAAAUUGGGAGCUAAACCAGGCCUUAGAUCACUAAUGAGGGUGUGUUUAGUUCGCGAAAAGAAAAUUUUCGAGUGUCACAUCAGAUGUUUGACCAGAUGUCGGAACGGGUUUUCGGACAUGAAUGAAAAAAACUAAUUUCAUACUCCCUCCGUCCCAAAAUAUAAGCAUUUUUAGAGUCUAACACGGUUUCCGAUAUGCAACUUUGACCAACAAUAUCUAUAAAAGUAAGAUGUUUUAAAUAAAAAAAAUUGCAUAUUAUGAUACUUUGUUUAAUGAUAAAUCUAGUAACAUUAAUUUUAGAUGUUUGAUCUUUUUAAUUUCUUUUGCUAUUAAUAGUUAAAGUUAAAAAUAUUUGACUUGUCACUAUGCUAAAAAUGCUUAUAUUUUGGGACGGGGGGAAUAACUCGCCUGGAAACCGCGAGACGAAUCCUUUGAGCCUAAUUAAGCUGUUAUUAGCACAUGUGGGUUAUUGUAGCACUUAUGGCUAAUUAUAGAUUAAUUAGACUCAGAAGAUUUGUCUCGCGAUUUCCAUGCAAAUUGUGCAAUUAGUUUUUACUUUUAUCUAUAUUUAAUGCUCUAUGCAUGUGCCCAAAGAUUCGAUGUAAUGUUUUUUCUAAAAAAAAGUUAGGGAACUAAACCAAACCUAACUUGUGACAAAACACAGUUGAUGGAUGACGAGGCAGUCGCGGUCUCCGAGGAGCGACACUACAGAGACGCAUUUUGUUUUGAUUGUGCCAGGGGUUUCUCCUCAGCGGUGUGUGGCCAUCAUCAUGGGCACACUUGGCUCCGUGUGUGCUUACAUGGUGGCCACCAUGGUGGCCUCGUCGUGGAUACUUACGGGCCUGAAUGCCGUUCAGGUAACUGGAGUUAGCUAUACUAAUCUAGUACUGGUGUCUUUUUUUGGUUUAUCGUCUCACUCUGUGCAUGUCUUGAUUCUUUUCACUUUUCAGUAUUGCACCGAUCCAGCAGUAGCACCAGGUCACCGUAUCAUCACGAUACGUUGCCCCAGCACAGCCAGGUGCCGUCAGUGUCAGUACAGGGUGUCAGCUGACAUGGUUUUGGAUUGUUCCCUCUCCUGUAAGCUGGCACUUUACCACCAGACAUGAGGGCUUUUGCUUCUAUGGAGAAGAUCACCUGAACUAGUAUGAUGUACUCCUUCGAUAGACCUUUUAUUUGGUGCUAUCUCUGAUCAGUGAUCACCUGAACUGCUAGUUGGCAGUCUAGUGUUAGUGCUGUGUGACUAUUGACACCCCUGAUACUUCUAUUGCUCAUCUGUGCUCUUCCUCGUAUUAAUUUCCUUUUUGCAGGGCAGCCACAAUAUGGCCAUAAGAAGAGGCCAUAAGGUUUUAUAGUGACCAUAUACAUUGUGAAACAAAGCCAUAAGGCAUUAAAUGCAAAAGAAAGCUUUAACCUUAUGGCUUGACCACAAGCAAUAAAAUAAUAGGGUAAAAUGAAUGUGAGGAUGAAAAAUUUGCAUGGCUGAUAAAAGAAGUACUAGAAUAGUACAUUGUGGGACCCAUCUUAAAGUUUACUCUUGCUUCAAACAUUGUGGUAAUAACCAUAAGAAUAGUGGGACCCACCUUAAUGCUACUUAUGAUCAUAAACAUUGGAGAUGCCCAGUCUCUAGUUCUCCAGGAGUACUAUGCGGAGUAUAUUGAUUGAUUUGCCCUGUUCGGUGACCGCUAAUACUCUUGAUUACUACUCCCUCCGUCUAAUAAUAUAAGAGAUUUUGAGUUUUUGCUUGCACUGUUUGACCACUCGUCUUAUUCAAAAAAUUUUAGAAUUAUUAUUUAUUUAUUUUACUUACUUUAUUAUCUAAGGUACUUUAAGCAUAACUUUUCGUUUUUUAUAUUUGCAUAAAUUUUCUGAAUAAGACGAGUGGUCAAACAAUACAAACGAAAACUCAAAAUGUCUUAUAUUAUACACUCACUCCUGGGUGAUUGAUUGUAGCAGUCGACGUGACUCAAAAUCAGCGAGCGUGUGGAGAGCGUGUUUUUUUUUAGAACUUAACAACUUUAUUAAACUAGAAGCAUCUCCAAAGGGAUUGGAGAAUAACAUCUCCAUUGUAGGACAAGACGUUGAAGGAUGACAGGUAUGAGUGAUAUUUUGGCAUAUUUUGUGAACCUGUACAUUGGCAACAAAUGCACUUGCUUGUUUUCAUAAAUAAUCUGCCAUUUUGUUUUCUUUUCUUGGGACCCACCGAAAUUUAUUUGUUUGACCCUGCAAUAGAAACUUUAGUUGAAAAAGGACCAGUGAGGUGGCUUUUGCAUGAAAGAUUAAUCUUGUAUAGCCUUGAUUAGACUUUGAUUGUCUGAAAUUAGGAUAGGGUCCUGCAUCUGAAGUCUUGCACGAACAUGGAAGCCCAAAAUAUGAUACCGGCAAGUUCAGCUUGAAAGGGAGAAGUAAAUUUGUGAGAGAAACCUUGAACAAACACGCCCAUAUGAUUUUGAUGAUUAUGAAUGAAAAUCCCAAACCCUGAGACUCAAAAAAAGAGCACUACAGCGGCGGGAAUCGAACUCGGCAACAGGGUUCCCUAAACCGGGGAUUCACCGAAACAAACAACCAGCAAACAGCUUUUAAAGGGAAGGGAGAUAGACUGUGCCUUUCUUUCAUUUAUUUUUUCUUUUCUGCAAGGUAGGGAGGGGGCCUUGAGAGUUCCUCUUGUGGUAGCAAGUUACUUCGCAACCUGCUCAAUUUGGCCUUAUAGGGUCGGGAACUAAUGAAUAAAAAGGGUUGGAUACCGCCCAACCACCCAGCCCUCUACCAUGUCUAGACAAAUAGAAUAGUUAUUUUAUACAGACUGCUAAGUGCGGAGACGGGAAUCGAACCCGUGACCUCAAGGUUAUGAGCCUCGUGAGCUACCAAACUGCUCUACUCCGCUCUGGAGCGCUGGAAACCGGUGGACGAAAAAGGUUGAAUACAGGCCUCUACCAUGUCUAGACAAAUAGAAUAGUUAUUUUAUACAGAAUGGAGCGGGUAGCGGGAAUCGAACCCGCAUCGUUAGCUUGGAAGGCUAGGGGUUAUAGUCGACGUUGGUUGAUUAUUAUUAACGUCUCUAAUUCAAAACCGAACAUGAAAUUUUGAUUUCAUUCGGCUCCUUUAUGGGUAUUCUCACCACUUAACAUCUAAGUCAGCUUUUUUGUCUGAAUGGAACCAAGGCUCUCUGCUUUCUAGAUGAUCCCUAAAGAGUAGGAGAUAGAAAUUUGCCUAAAUCUAUCUAAUCUAAUUACUUCGUUCCCUAAUUUCAUUUAAGAGAUCCUGAGGAAAAGAAUUGGGUUUCCACCGAGCUGAAACAAUAUGCUGAUGGUUCUAGUAAACCAAAACUACCGUUUUUUAGCUAUUUGGCUUCCAUUUCCUUUUUUAACAAAAGAAGAUUUAGUUACGAUUGGAAAUAAAUUUUUUUGUAUCUUCAUCCAUAGAUCCUUUACUCAUAUUUAAAAAAUUGGAAUCCUUAAUCCAAUGCAAAAUUAUGCUUCGCGACUCUGUACUCAUAAUCCAAAUCCUAUUUGUUUUUUGGAUGCAAUUUCAAUUAGUCUUUGGGUACAAAUCGCGAAAAUGCAUAUUCUUCCUCAAUAUGCUAUUGAGAGAAAAAGGAGUAAAUCCUUUCUAAGAACUAAAGUUUUCAUCGGAAUAUAAAAAACCUUAAGGACGCCUUAAGUAUAUCAUUUCAAAUUCAGUUAUUAAUAGAACGAAUCACACUUUUACCACUAAACUAUACCC